UACGUAGGGUGCAAGCGUUGUCCGGAAUUACUGGGCGUAAAGGGCGCGUAGGCGGCCUGUUAAGUCGAACGUGAAAUCCCCGGGCUCAACCCGGGAACUGCGUCCGAUACUGGCAGGCUUGAAUUCGGGAGAGGGAUGCGGAAUUCCAGGUGUAGCGGUGAAAUGCGUAGAUAUCUGGAGGAACACCGGUGGCGAAGGCGGCAUCCUGGACCGAGAUUGACGCUGAGGCGCGAAAGCCAGGGGAGCAAACGGG
rnacentral:rRNA from 1 species